rnacentral:rRNA from 1 species
GACGAACGCUGGCGGCGUGCCUAAUACAUGCAAGUAGAACGCACAGUUUAUACCGUAGCUUGCUACACCAUAGACUGUGAGUUGCGAACGGGUGAGUAACGCGUAGGUAACCUGCCUGGUAGCGGGGGAUAACUAUUGGAAACGAUAGCUAAUACCGCAUAAUAUUAAUUAUUGCAUGAUAAUUAAUUGAAAGGUGCAAUUGCACCACUACCAGAUGGACCUGCGUUGUAUUAGCUAGUAGGUGAGGUAACGGCUCACCUAGGCGACGAUACAUAGCCGACCUGGGAGGGUGAUCGGCCACCCUGGGACUGGGGCACGGCCCAGACUCCUACCGGAGGCAGCAGUAGGGAAUCUUCGGCAAUGGACGAAAGUCUGACCGAGCAACGCCGCGUGGAUGAAGGAGGUUUUCGGAUCGUAAAGCUCUGUUGUAAGGGAAGAAAGGGUGUGAGAGUGGAAAGUUCACACUGUGACGGUAUCUUACCAGAAAGGGACGGCUAACUACGUG